UAGUACGGCGAGUGAAGAGGGAAGAGCCCAAGAUUGAAAGCUGGCGCCUUCGGCGUCCGCAUUGUAAUCUCAAGAAGUGUUUUCCGCUUCGGACCAUGCCUAAGUCCCUUGGAAAAGGGCAUCAUAGAGGGUGAUAAUCCCGUACAUGGCAUGGAGCGCCCGAAGCUUUGUGAUACGCUUUCUAAGAGUCGAGUUGUUUGGGAAUGCAGCUCAAAAUGGGUGGUAAAUGCCAUCUAAGGCUAAAUAUUGGGGAGAGACCGAUAGCGAACAAGUACAGUGAUGGAAAGAUGAAAAGAACUUUGAAAAGAGAGUUAAACAGUACGUGAAAUUGCCAAAAGGGAAGGGUAGGAGGUCAGAGAUGCGUCGCAGGAUUCAGCCUUGCUUUUGCUUGGUGUUUUUCCUGCGUUGCAGGCCAACGUCGGUUUUGGGCACUGGAGAAGGGUAGGAGGAACGUGGCACCUCUCGGGGUGUGUUAUAGCCUCCUACUGGAUACAGCGACCGAGACCGAGGAACGCAGCGUACUCGUAAGAGCGGGCCUUUUGGCACCUUUACGCUUAGGGCGUUGGCAUAAUGGCCCUCUACCACCCGUCUUGAA
rnacentral:rRNA from 1 species